rnacentral:tRNA from 1 species
GGACUGGUAGUUUAGCGGCUGAGCUUUUUCAAAAAAACCUCGGAAAAACUCCGCAGAUAACGCUACCCUCACACGGUAGAGGCCGGAGGUUCGAAUCCUCCCCAGUCCA